rnacentral:misc_RNA from 1 species
AAAAUGGCUUAGGCCAUUUUGAUGGUGGGGAGCUAAGUUUCAAGCACAGUUCAAAUGCAGCUUGCCAGUGUGAUAUUCACACUCUUGGGUCCAUAAUUCUCAACAUGGUAUCAAAGCAGGUCAGGACCUAGUUUCAGUUUUAGUUCAAUUUCCUAUGUUGCCAUUGCAUUUUUUAAGUGUCAAUCGAACGUCUAGUUGCCACUUGAGGGGUAAUGUUGGAAUAGCACUUGUGGGAACAAGUCCCACAUCGGUAGCAUACUAAAAAAUUAAAGGGCACAUAAGUGUUUGCAAAACAAACAAAAAUGGCUUAGGCUAAUUUAGUGAUGGAAAGCCCAAUUCAGCAUGUAGCCU